UUAAUAAUAUAAUUUGUGGAAAUAAAAGCCAAUACAGCCCGCAAUCGGGGUGUCACCAGUCAUGAGCAUCAAAAACAAUACAACAAGUCUGAAAGUCUACUCCUGUCACGACCCUAGGUCACCCUCCUUGAACAAGUUAUGACAGCACCUAAUCUCUAUGACUAGGUAAGCCUGACAGUGCAGAAACAUCAUCAUUUUGUGGAAAUAAUGGAUUAAAACUGUAUAACUCAAGGAAAAUUGUAUAUAAGUGUUGCCUGGCAUAUACAACUCAACAUCACAAGACUAAGCAAAAUCCAAAAACCCGAACACUCAUGGGCAACACGGGCUAAAGAAAUGUAUAACAAAGUUCUCUAGUCUCCAGAAGCGUCUACAUCAAAGAAUGAAAGGAAGCUAAACACAACAAGAUAGAAUAAGAGGGAGACUCCUCGGUCUGCGGAUAAGGCAGAUAUACCUUAUGUUAGGAUACGUGAACAACGCUAGAGGGGGGGUGAAUAGCAUUUUACACAAAUUAUGCGGAAUUAAAAAAUCUGUUGCAAGAAAUAAAAUACUGCAGGAAUUUAACAAGUGCUGGAAAGUAAAGAAGACAGAGAUGUAUACUGGUUUACCACACCUUGUGGCUAGUCCAGUCCCCGAGAGACUCUCUCGAGAUUUCCACUAACAACCGUGUCGAGCUUACGGGUGCUCAACAAACCUUUACACUUGAGACUUGAAUCGAACAAGUCUCAAACACCUGCUUGAGGAUACCUCACCCCAAGACUUUCCAGUUAAGCUUCCGGGUGCAUAACGAACCUUUACAACUUGAGAACUUGAAUCAACACAAGCCUGAAACAAACCUGCUUAAGGAACCCUAUCCCUGAGACUUCACAAGAAGGAAUACAAUUUUCCCUCUUACAACAAGUGUUUUCAAAAACACUCACUACUCACUUAUACAAUAACUCUCUGAAAGAGUGGAUAUGAGUACAAAAUAUUCAGCUCAAGAUUACAACAACUUAAUCAAUAAUUUGGCUCUCAAAUAUGAAUUUUUGAAUGAUAAAAGAUUGCAAUAAUAAUAUGUAUGUAAUAUCAGAUUUUUGCUCAGUUGUUGUGCUUUUUGAAGAGCAUUUCAGGGGUGUAUUUAUAGCAAAAAAUGGAAUCAAACCGGUUCCUAAUUUUCAAUUUUUAUAAAAUAAUUCGGUCAAGAUAUUUGAAAAUAGUAGAUUUUGUGAUAACAAAUUCAAC
rnacentral:lncRNA from 1 species